GACGAACGCUGGCGGCGUGCUUAACACAUGCAAGUCGAGCGGUAAGGCCCUUUCGGGGGUACACGAGCGGCGAACGGGUGAGUAACACGUGGGUGACCUGCCCUUAGCUCUGGGAUAAGCCUGGGAAACUGGGUCUAAUACCGGAUAUGACUCCAUAACGCAUGUUGUGGGGUGGAAAGCCUUGUGCGGCUAGGGAUGGGCCCGCGGCCUAUCAGCUUGUUGGUGGGGUGAUGGCCUACCAAGGCGACGACGGGUAGCCGGCCUGAGAGGGCGACCGGCCACACUGGGACUGAGACACGGCCCAGACUCCUACGGGAGGCAGCAGUGGGGAAGUCUUGCGCAAUGGGCGAAAGCCUGACGCAGCGACGCCGCGU
rnacentral:rRNA from 1 species